ACGACGUCGGUCACGUGACGAACACAGGCGCGAAGUUGGUUGUUUGAGAAGAUUCAACGCUCCUGUACGUCAGGCCUUUGUGACGAAUAGCAGAGAUCAGGCUGGUUGAAGAGGUGACAGGUGCUGACUAAAGUUUGGAUGAACUCAAACGUGGAACAUGUCAUGCAGCUUGCACAGGUGCAAUAUAUGUCCAGACUCACAGCGCACCUCUUUUGGGUUUUGGCCAUUUUUGGAUUCUCCGUUAACCGUGGAGGGGCACAAGAAAAACAAAGUUUUCUUCAGGAAUAAAAGGUAAUACAGGAAUGUACCUGUGUUUGCAGUCUUCGUCCUUUGUCCUCUAGAAUCCAUGUGCCUUUUGAUAGUCUCAAGAACAAGGAAAGAGCUCUUCCUCACAAGGUCAAACGCUUAACUAUUACACUGUGCCAUCGAUGGCUGGUGACUUACAAAUCAUAAGUAUUGAUCAUGGCAGCGAUCAUACUGAAUGUAGGGCAGACAGUAAAAUCAUAUCCACUUAGGCUUAAUAGCCUACAUUAAAGCAAUUAUGCACACAAACUAGGACUGUACGCAUAUUAUGCUGGUCCAUAUAUCUUUUUUUU